AAUUCAAUAAUUAUUUAAUAUUUAUAUUUUGAUUAUUUAAUAAAAAUAAUUUUAUUAAAUUAUAGUUUUAGUAUAUUUUAUAGAUAAAAUUGUUUUAAUUAUAGUAAAUUAGUAUUGUUAAAGAAUUUUGAAAUAUAAAGUUUUUAUUUUAAAGUAAAAUUUAUUUUUUGUACCUUGUGUAUCAGGGUUUAUUAAAAAUAAAUUAUUUAGUUAAUUUUCCCGAUUUUAAGAGAGAGAAUAAAUAAUUUUAUUUAUUGUGAAAAAAAUAUUAAUAAUUAUUUAUUAGUAAUUAAAUGUUAUUCGUUCUUAAAUAUAUCUGGUUUAUUUAGAAAUGAAUUUAAUUCAGUUAUUUUUAUUAUAAUAAUUUAUUUUUUUAAAAUAUUAUAUUUAAUUAAUAAUAAUUAAUGGGAUUAGCUUUUAAUUAUAAUUUUAUAGUUAUUUAUUUUAUUAAAGGUUUAUAGGUUUAGAAAUAUUCAUUAAUAAUAAUUUGUUAUAAUUAUCUUUUUUAAUAAUAAAAUUUGAUAAAAAAACUUAAUAAUUUAUAAAUAAAUAAUAUUGAAUUAAUUAAUAUUAGUUAUAAUGAUAAAAUUAGUAUAUUUAAAAUAUUUGAUUAAUAUUUUAUUUAAAGAUUAUUUAAAGGAAUUAGGCAAAAAUUUUAUUCGCCUGUUUAACAAAAACAUGUCCUUUAGGAUAAAUAAUUUAAGGUCUAACCUGCCCACUGAUAAAUUUAAAGGCCGCAGUAAUUUGACUGUGCAAAGGUAGCAUAAUCAUUAGUUUUUUAAUUAAAAGCUUGUAUGAAUGGUUGGACGAGAUAAAAUCUGUCUCUAUUUAAUAAUUAGAAUUUAAUUUUUAAGUUAAAAAGCUUAAAUUAAUAUAAAAGACGAGAAGACCCUAUAGAUCUUAAUAUAGAAUUUUAAAAUUUUAUUUAGGAUUUUUUUAUUAAUUUUAUUAUUUUGUAUUUUAUUGGGGUAAUAAAAAGAUUAAAUUAAUUCUUUUUCAUAUUAUACAAUAAUAAUUGGUUAUUUGAUCCAUUAAUAGUGAUUAUAAGAUUAAGUUACCUUAGGGAUAACAGCGUAAUUUUUUUAGAGAGUUCAUAUCGAUAAAAAAGUUUGCGACCUCGAUGUUGGAUUAAAAAUUAUUUCGGGUGUAGAAGUUCGAAGUUUUGGUCUGUUCGACCAUUAAAUUUUUACAUGAUCUGAGUUCAGACCGGUGUAAGCCAGGUCGGUUUCUAUCUUUAUUAAAUUUAUAUAUUUUAGUACGAAAGGACCAAAUAUUUGAUAUAUUGAUAUUUUUAUUUUGAUUAAAAUU
rnacentral:rRNA from 1 species